rnacentral:rRNA from 1 species
AGUCACUGACAUUAGAUACCCCCUGUAGUCCAGGGUGUAAACGCUGCAGACUUGGUGUUGGAAGCCCUUUGGGGGCAUUCAGUGCCGGAGAGAAGUUGUUAAGUCUGCUACUUGGGGAGUACGUCCGCAAGGAUGAAACUUAAAGGAAUUGGCGGGGGAGCACCGCAACGGGAGGAGCGUGCGGUUUAAUUGGAUUCAACACCGUAAAACUCACCAGGGAAGACUGUUACAUGAAGGCCGAGAUGAAGACUCUGCUAGAUUUUCAG